rnacentral:piRNA from 1 species
UCUCGUCAGAAAGACCACUGGGU